UGUAGUGGAAGUCAUUUUCCUUUGUUUCGAAUGCAGUGUGUAUGGACAUUUACAUAAUAAAAUGCUUGCACAAAUAACAGAUGGUGAAGAGGCACUCAUUUUGCUACAUGUUGGAAACACAAUGCUAUUCCUUGAUCAACUCAUUUCUCUUACUUUUGCCUACAGAUGUCUUACCAGCUAUUAAACCCCGGGGGUUAUUCAACUGGUGAAAGGUUUGAAGACAGGCAAAAAGCUGUCUGCAGAAUUUCCCUGCUUCAAUCAAGAGCAAAUGCUGUGCCCUGAUGGGGAUUCUCAAUCCAUCAAAAGUGGUUUUCGCUGUCAGAAAAGCACUUUUGAGCAAUGCAUCUGAAAAUAAGUGUCCUUGAUCCAUCUGGAAAUGUGAGUCUCCAGAACCAGUCUUCAGAAAGCAUCACUGAACCAACGCUUUCUCCUUGCAGAUGUGGACCUUGAGAUGAAUUCUGAAGGCAAAGAAUGAUAUUCUCCUUUGAGACCUUUGGAUGAAAUGCAUGAUGUUAUGUAAGUACUAAGCAUUAUUUUUAACAAUAAUAUUCAAGUGAAUGAGGCAGCGGG